UACGAAGGGGGCUAGCGUUUUUCGGAAUCACUGGGCGUAAAGCGCACGUAGGCGGACCGAUAAGUUGGGGGUGAAAGCCCAGGGCUCAACCCUGGAUAUGACUCCAAUACUGUCGGUCUCGAGUUCGGGAGAGGUGAGUGGAAUUCCUAGUGUAGAGGUGAAAUUCGUAGAUAUUAGGAAGAACACCAGUGGCGAAGGCGGCUCACUGGCCCGAUACUGACGCUGAGGUGCGAAAGCGUGGGGAGCAAACAGG
rnacentral:rRNA from 1 species